rnacentral:rRNA from 1 species
AUUGAACGCUGGCGGCAUGCCUUACACAUGCAAGUCGAACGGUAACAGGUCUUCGGAUGCUGACGAGUGGCGAACGGGUGAGUAAUACAUCGGAACGUGCCCGAUCGUGGGGGAUAACGGAGCGAAAGCUUUGCUAAUACCGCAUACGAUCUACGGAUGAAAGCAGGGGACCGCAAGGCCUUGCGCGGACGGAGCGGCCGAUGGCAGAUUAGGUAGUUGGUGGGAUAAAAGCUUACCAAGCCGACGAUCUGUAGCUGGUCUGAGAGGACGACCAGCCACACUGGGACUGAGACACGGCCCAGACCCCUACGGGAGGCAGCAGUGGGGAAUUUUGGACAAUGGGCGAAAGCCUGAUCCAGCCAUGCCGCGUGCAGGAUGAAGGCCUUCGGGUUGUAAACUGCUUUUGUACGGAACGAAAAGCCUCUUUCUAAUAAAGAGAGGUCAUGACGGUACCGUAAGAAUAAGCACCGGCUAACUACGUGCCAGCAGCCGCCGUAAAAC